UGGAGAACAAAGGAUAAAAACAAGUUCCCCAGGCUUUGCCUUCUUUCCUUUUAUUUUGCAUUCACCAGUGCUCCAUGACAGGACUGAAGAGAUGACAUCACUCCCUAAGAUAAAUCAAUUUAGAUUCUCACCAGAAAGCUGGCAAUCAUUGCUAAGGAAAAGAAAGGGACUGCAGGAGGAGUGGGAAGGCCACCAUCUGCACAGUGAGACAUCUUGUGCCAAGUGCUCUGGCCUUAGUCGUGGGAAUACAGGAACUGUGGGGAUACAAGGAGCAGAAAGCAGCUGACUACUCUUUUCACCAGGCAGUUUGGAGAAAAAAAUAUGCAACCUGACCCAAGUGCAGAGGAAGGAAAAGUAAACAAAGCAUAAGGCUAGCCAAACUGAAGAUUUUAUGGGAAUAUAUGAUUGUAUGGGAACUGUUGCCUGAACCUCUGAUUGAUCACCUGAGGCAAGCACUUAGUCAGCCAUGGGAGCACAGGUGAAGGCAAUUCACCUGUGUGACCGGAAGGAGUGGAGCCUGGCCGCACCUCUCCUAGACACCAUUUAAGGGCUGACUGCCACUAGGGAAGGGUCUCUUUCUGGAGAUUACUCCCUUUGAAGUUUUUCUGUGAGCCUAGGAUAUGGGAGCUGAAGGCACAGACUUCUGCCAAAGGAUCUCCACUCUUGGAUUUUUGCCAUCUCCGGAGGCAUGCUUUCACAUGUUUACCACACAGUGAGUGGAGGAAGUGCCCAAGAAACCCAGUAACACAUGUGGACAGCUCUGUGAGUUCAUCAGGCAGUCACUUCACAAGAACACGUAAGCUGUCCCGAUUGCCUUCUAACAUCCACACAUCACCGUGUGAUGUCUGUGUGCAACGCAGCUUUAAAUUGGCGUGGGACUUACAGGUGUAAGCCUGUGGGAGUUUUACCUUUGAGGAUAUUAUUAUGGCUGUGUUGCAGCACUCUGAUUGCACUUAUCCAUCUGUGCGCUGUUAUGCUGACAGUGCUAACAAAGCACGCCCAGCUAGCAGGCUGGAACACCCCUUGUAAACACGGCUUUGGCUUUGCUGGGCGCUGAGCUGGGACGGGCAGGCCGGCGUCCUGAAUCACACCUACACAAGCUUCCUCCAGCAGUGGGAAUUAGUCUAGUUUGUUUUACUUAAAAAGGAAGUCCAGGAAGCAAACAGUACCUUCAGAAACAUUAUGACCGAGGCGAGAAUAAGAACUGUUAGGGAACAACUGAACAGAUUACAGAAAAAUGCACUCGAAUACUAAAUGCAAAGCGGAAUAUGGGCAGCACAACCCGAACCCCUGUCCGCCAGCGGGGAGCAACGCCUGGUAGCUGCUGCUGUGCCCUAACGCGGCCUGGUAACGCGAGGAGGCGGCUCCUCAGCACCGUGUCCGCGUCUUUUCGGGUCCCCGCCGAGACGGAGGCGCCGGACUCGUCCCGCUCACAGCGCUCCACAGCCCCGUCCGCUCCGCGCUCCGCGGCGCUGCGGGGGAGAUCGCGCAUCGCCACAUCCGGGUGCCGGCCCUCUCUGCGCGCAUGCGC
ensembl:lncRNA